rnacentral:rRNA from 1 species
GACGAACGCUGGCGGCGUGCUUAACACAUGCAAGUCGAACGGAAAGGCCCUGCUUUUGUGGCGUGCUCGUGUGGCACACGUGUGAAUAACCCCUGAGUAACCUGCCCUUGACUUUGGGCUAACUUCAGGAACCUGGGGCUAAUACCGCAUAGGAGCUCCUGCUGCCUGGUGGGGGUUGGCCAGUUUCGGCGGUUUGGGAUGGACUCGCGGCUUAUAAGCUUGUUGGUGGGGUAGUGGCUUACCAAGGCUUUGACGGGUAGCCGGCAUGAGAGGGUGACCGGCAACAUUGGGACUGAGAUACGGCCCAGACUCCUACGGGAGGCAGCAGUGGGGAAUAUUGCACAAUGAGCGGAAGCAUGAUGAAGCAACGACGCGGGCGGGAUGACGGCCUUCGGGGUGUAAACCGCUUUCGCCUGUGAAGAAGAGUGAGUGACGGUAAUGGGUAAAGAAGCACCGGCUAACUACGUG